rnacentral:rRNA from 1 species
UCAUCUGUUGCCAGCAUUUAAGGUGGGGACGUCAGAUGAGACUGCCGGUGACAAACCGAGGAAGGUGGGGACGACGUCAAGUCAUCAUGGCCCUUAUGUCCUGGGCUACACACGUGCUACAAUGGCCGGUACAGAGUGAAGCGAAACCGCGAGGUGAAGCAAAACGCAGAAAGCCGGUCUCAGUACGGAUUGGAGUCUGAAACUCGACUUCAUGAAGUUGGAAUCGCUAGUAAUCGCGCAUCAGCAUGGCGCGGUGAAUACGUUCCCGGGCCUU